rnacentral:rRNA from 1 species
UACGGGGGGGGGCAAGCGUUGUUCGGAAUUACUGGGCGUAAAGGGCUCGUAGGUGGCCAACUAAGUCAGACGUGAAAUCCCUCGGCUUAACCGGGGAACUGCGUCUGAUACUGGAUGGCUUGAGUUCGGGAGAGGGAUGCGGAAUUCCAGGUGUAGCGGUGAAAUGCGUAGAUAUCUGGAGGAACACCGGUGGCGAAGGCGGCAUCCUGGACCGACACUGACGCUGAGGAGCGAAAGCCGGGGGAGCAAACGGG